AUACUUACCUGGCAGACACCAUAAUCUUGAAGAUGGUUUUCCUAGAGUGAGGCUCAUCUAUUGCACUCCAGGUGUGCUGAUCCCUGUGAUUUCACCAAAUGUGUGAAACCUGACAUAAUUUGCGGUAUUCCCCUAGUGC
rnacentral:snRNA from 1 species